rnacentral:rRNA from 1 species
UACGAAGGGGGCUAGCGUUGUUCGGAAUUACUGGGCGUAAAGCGCACGUAGGCGGACUAUUAAGUCAGGGGUGAAAUCCCGGGGCUCAACCCCGGAACUGCCUUUGAUACUGCCGUGCUUGAGGACUGGAGAGGAGACUGGAAUUUACGGUGUAGCGGUGAAAUGCGUAGAUAUCGUAAGGAAGACCAGUGGCGAAGGCGGGUCUCUGGACAGUUCCUGACGCUGAGGCACGAAGGCCAGGGGAGCAAACGGG